GCAUUAAUGGGGUAGUGGUAACCUGGGUCGUUGCCAUUUGAUUUCAAGAUCCUCGACCCGCCGGGGGUUCGAUUCCCUCUUAAUGCA